ensembl:snoRNA SNORD11B small nucleolar RNA, C/D box 11B
UGACCGUGGUGAUGAUGACGACAUUUGUCUUUUCUCCUGAAAUGAUAUAUGUGGGUUUUUCAGUCACUACCUCAUCUGAACAGUCA